AUGUUUGGUGUCAGCCCAGCUGUGUUGCAGCUCCAGCUUCAUUUGCCAAACAUGCAUACAGUCGCAUUUCAGGCUUAUGAAAAUCUGGAAGAUGUUGUUGCUCGACCAUCUUCUUCCAAAUCCAUGCUUACCGAGUACUUUGGGAUGAACCAAAAGUAUCCAGAGGCACGAAAAUUGUUGUAUAGAGAGUUCCCAGAACAUUAUAGGUGGAUAGCCGGUAAUAAGAAGUGGCAACCGAGAAAAAAUAAGAGAUCACAGAUUGGAAGAUUGGUGCAUGCACACCCUGCUGAAGGAGAGAGGUACUACUUGCGGGUGCUCCUAAACCAUGUCCGAGGUGCCACUUCAUUUGAUGAUUUAAAAACAGUAAAUGGCAAGGCAUGCGGGUCCUUCAGAGAGGCGUGUGAGCAAUUAGGCCUCAUUGAGCACGACAGGACACUUGAUGAUUGCAUGACGGAGGCUGGGACAUUUCAAAUGCCUACUGCUCUUAGACGGUUGUUUGCGACUAUAUUGGUAUUCUGUGAGGCAACACAAAUCCGUCAGUUAUGGGACAAACAUCUAGCAUCCAUGUCUGAAGAUUAUCGCCGUACUCAAUCGAAUGAGGCAGCACUUGAGCAAAUGGUCCUUAGGGAUAUCAGGGAUCUGCUGCAAUCCAUGGGAAAGGAUAUUAAACUCUAUGGACUUCCGGAUCUGGUUGACGCAGAUGGUUCUUCUAACUUUGACAAUACAGAGGUAACAGAGGAGAGACAGGUUAAAGUGGACCAAGAACAUCUAGAUCUAUUCAGCUGUUUGAACAAUGAGCAACUAGCUGGUUUCAAUGACAUAAUGGAUCAUGUGACAAACCAAAAAAGCCAGUCCAGGUUCAAAAUUCCAAUCAAGCUCACUGACAACAGCAUGUGUAGCUUCACAAAGCAAAGUGGUACGGCAGAGUUGCUUAAACAGGCGUCCUUGAUAAUUUGGGAUGAAGUUGCUAUGACAAAGCGUCAAGCAGUUGAGACACUUGAUAGAUCGCUGCAGGAUAUAAUGGAAUGUUCUUUACCAUUUGGUGGAAAGGUUGUCGUCUUUGGUGGCGAUUUCAGGCAGGUCCUCCCCGUUGUGACCCGAGGGACAAGAGCACAGAUCACUGAUGCUACACUGUUGAGAUCCUAUCUGUGGCAGAAGAUCCGCAAGAUACGCCUCACACGCAAUAUGCGGGCACAGACAGACCCUUGGUUCUCGGAAUACCUCCUACGGAUCGGCAAUGGGACGGAAGAAACAAUUGGCGACGACUAUGUGCAUCUCCCUGAAGACAUUGUGAUUGCUUAUACCGACGAUGAUGAACCUAUUAACAAGCUUAUCGAAGAUGUCUUCCCAUCCUUGCACACCAAUGCUAGGUCGAGAGAGUACAUGAGCACACGUGCAAUUCUCUCGACCAAAAAUGAGCAUGUAGAUGACCUGAAUGACAAGAUGAUCUCCAGGUUUCCGGGCGAAGAAAAGGUGUACCAUAGCUUUGACUAUAUCGAGGAUGACUUCCAGAAUAAUUACACAAUUGACUUCCUGAACUCGAUCACACCAAAUGGGUUGCCCCCGCAUGUCUUGAGAGUAAAAAUCAACUGCCCGGUCAUUUUGCUACGGAACCUCGACCCUCAUAAUGGGCUAUGUAAUGGAACACGGCUUAUGAUCAGGGCCUUCCAGGAUAAUGCAAUCGAUCAGAGAUUGUUGGUGGCCAGCAUGCUAGAAAGAGGGUGUUCAUACCUAGGAUCCCUAUGUCGCCCUCGGAGGACACCUCACUUCCCUUCAAGCUUAAGAGAAAACAGUUCCCCAUCCGCCUGA
rnacentral:rRNA from 1 species